AACGCUAGCUACAGGCUUAACACAUGCAAGUCGAACGGAUUCUGGAUUCGUCUGGAAUUAGUGGCAAACGGGUGAGUAACACGUAUCCAACCACCCUGCGACUCGGGGAUAGCCUCUUGAAAGGGAGAUUAAUAUCCGAUGUACUGUUUUUGGUGCAUGCCAUUUUCAGUAAAGUUUUUUACGGUCGCUGACGGGGAUGCGUUCCAUUAGAUAGUCGGUGUGGUAACGGCUCACCGAGUCUAUGAUGGAUAGGGGUUCUGAGAGGAAGGUCCCCCACAUUGGAACUGCGACACGGUCCAAACUCCUACGGGAGGCAACAGUGAGGAAUAUUGGUCAAUGGGCGAAAGCCUGAACCAGCUAUGUAGCGUGAAGGAUGACUGCCCUAUGGGUUGUAAACUUCUUUUGUUCGGGAAUAACAGACUUCACUUGUGGAGUUUUGCAUGUACCGUUCGAAUAAGGAUCGGCUAACUCCGUGCCAGCAGCCGCGGUAAUACGGAGGAUCCUAGCGUUAUUCGGAUUUAUUGGGUUUAAAGGGAGCGUAGGCGGGGGGUCAAGUCAGCUGUGAAAUACGUACGCUUAACGUUCGUCUUGCAGUUGAAACUGGUUUUCUUGAGUGCGUAUGAGGCAGGCGGAAUUCGUGGUGUAGCGGUGAAAUGCUUAGAUAUCACGAAGAACUCCGAUUG
rnacentral:rRNA from 1 species